rnacentral:misc_RNA from 1 species
ACAUAGUAAUAGCAAAUAUACUCACUCAUAGAAGUGUUAAGCAAAUAGAAUAGAGUUAAGGGAUAGUAGAUUAAGAAAAAGGGAUGAGUAUAGGUAAUGGAUUAUCCCUGAAAAUGCCCCCGCGACUAUCGGCGCGCAGGAUUUUCCUCAUCAUCCUAGUUCUUUUCAGUUUUUCAGUACUAAUCUCAGUACAUCAUCGGUUUUCAUGGAUCCGCAUCGGUAGUGGACCUUCCCUACAAGAAAAUCAAGAUGAUCCAGAAAUUAACGAUAUCGGCGACGAUCCGCCUUCUUCAGGUCGACUUGAAAUAUCCAAUGAGGUUGGUGAGGUUGAAGAACCAACUGCGAAGGAGAACCAAGGCAAACCUUGGUUCAUGAAGGGCGGGACCGAGUUUCCGGGGAACUAUAGAGGACCUCCUAGGUUAUUCCCAGAUCAGGCCGAUGGGGAUAGGAUCGUGGAACAACUUAUGUACGUGCCCGAGGAUUAUCAAGGAUAUGAUACUCCAGAGAAGGUAAUAUUAGCCUACAAUGGACUCGGUGCGUGGGGCCAGAAAUCAGGGUCGGCGUCCUUUCACGGUUGUCCUGUCAACAGGUGUACUUUGACGGACGACAGGAGCAAGGCUGCUGACGUAGAUGCCAUUUUGUACAAAGACCAUUUUAUACAUCCUGGUGUUGCGCGACCUAUGAAACAGAUAUGGAUCAUUUACUUUCUGGAAUGUCCAUAUCACACGCAAAGUGUAAAAUUCGCUGAUCUCAUUAAUUGGACUGCCACUUACAGGCGGGACAGUGAUCUUGUAGCUCCCUACGAGAGAUGGACUUAUUUUGAUCCACAGGUACGCCAGAAGGUCCAAUCGAAAGACUAUUCCGUUAAUAAGACGAAAAAAGUUGCAUGGUUCGUAUCGAACUGCGGAGCCCGUAAUGGCCGUUUAGCGUAUGCCAGAGAACUUGGCAAAUACAUUCCAGUAGACAUAUACGGUACUUGUGGGCCGUUAAAAUGUCCUAGAUCAGAUAGAAAAUGUUUUGAAAUAUUAGAAAGGGAUUAUAAAUUUUAUUUGGCGUUCGAAAAUUCCAAUUGUCGAGACUAUAUAACCGAAAAAUUUUAUGUUAACGGUCUGGGACAAAACGUUCUUCCUAUCGUUAUGGGAGCUCGACCAGAAGACUACCAAAGAAGUGCACCUGAAGGUUCCUAUAUUCACGUAGAUGAAUUCGCCGGUCCUCAAGAACUGGCCGCUUACCUCCACCGACUAGAUAACGAUAACAACUUAUACAAUUCCUACUUCAAAUGGAAAGGCACCGGAGAAUUUAUCAACACAUACUUCUGGUGCCGCUUGUGCGCCAUGAUGCACGCGCCUCAAUCGACACAGCGGCACUACGAGGACGUCAACGAUUGGUGGAGGGGCCCUGGUGUAUGCACCACCAAGUCUUGGAGAAACGCUGAAUUCGUUUAGGCAUCCUUUGGAAGUUUUAGAUCAACCUCUCCGGUGAUAAUAAAACGACGUGAUCGAUUAAUUAUUGAACCGUCCUCGUAUAGUUAUGUUUAGAGUCAGAGGCGGUUUUAACGUUAAUAAAACUAGCAAAUUUCUUAAACUUUGGUUUGUAGUUUACUGGUUAAAAAUAGAGCGAUAGCCAGUUACACAGAUAUUUUCGAGACAGUUAUUGCUUUCUUAAUUGGAACGUCCUUAAAAAUACUUUGUUUGGUUCUUUAAUAUAUAGUUUCUCCAUUCUUUCUAACUGUGUAUGGUUUAUUGUAAUAAUGCUAAUGAUAAUUAUUUGUGUCUUCUUAAAGUUUAGUUAGGCCAUAUUAUUUAUUUAGUCUUCUUACAAUUUAGUGUUACAAGUCUCUACAACAUUAUGCAUUAUCCUUUGGAGCCGCUGUGCACAUCUGCCAGUAGGUACAUAAUGCUGUAUCUUCUGCGCAUAUCUAAUAUAUCUAGUAUACAGGGUGAGGCAGAUAAAAGUCCUAUUAGAAAUAUCUCGAGAACUAAAGGAAACAGAAUUAUGAAAAUUGAAAUGAAGGGGUUUUGAAGAGUGAUCUCUUUAGUGAAAAUUUUCAUCGAUUUGCUACUUCCGGUUAUACCGGAAGUGGCUUAUAACUUCGUUUUUUUAAAUGGAACAUCCUGUAUAUUUUUACAUUUUUGGAUUCUCCUCGUUGUCUUCUUUCUUAAAAUAUGAGGUUUUGUAAUGUUAUACAGGGUAGUUUAAAAGAUAAUUACGUUUUUUUUUCUCAAUAUCGUAGCAACAUUCACACCCUGUAGAAUUGUAGUAGUUUGACAUCAAAAACUCUAUUUAUGUUCAAAUGAUUUUUAAUAUAGUCUACUAUUCUUAAAAAUUGUUAGUAUAGCUAAAUGUUGAAUUGUACUAUACAGGGUUGGUCAAAACUCGGUAAGAGUAUUUUCUGAGUUUUCUUAAAUGGAACACCCUAUAUUUUAUUAUUGUAAUGAAAUGAUAUUUUAUGCUACUUUUUUAUUUCUUAAGCAUUCCCUAUACCUAACUGCUUUAAUUUGUGAGUUAUUGGUGAUUCAAGCCAAACAUUAAUUUCAACAAAAAAUACGUGAAAUUUUAUUAGGUUGGACGUGAAAAUAUUCAAUAACAAAUAAUUUUUCGGAAAUAAAUACAUACUAAUUUAGACUGAUCUUUAAAAUUGCCAAUAAUGGUUGAGCUAUCAAAAUACCUACGUAGUUAACAUUCUUGGCGCGAUUAACAACUAAGCACAAAUUAAAGCAUUUAGGUAUAGGGAAUGUUUAAGAAAUAAAAAAGUACCAUAAAAUGUCUUUUCAUUGCAAUACUAAAAUACAGGGUGUUCCGUUUAAGAAAAUUCAGAAAAUCCUCAUUCCGAGUUUCGACCAACCCUGUAUACUAAAAUUUAACAUUUAGCUUUACUAAUAAUUUUUAAUAAUAGUAGACAAUAUUAAAAAUCAUUUUAACAUUAAAAAAGUUUUUGAUAUGCAACUACUACAAUUCUACAGGGUGUGAAAGUUGCUACGAAAUUAAUAUAAAAACGUAAUUAGCUUGUAAACUACCCUGUAUAACAUUACAAAACCGCAUAUUUUAAGAAAGAAGACAUCGAGUAGAAUCUAAAAAUGUAAAAAUAUACAGGGUGUCCCAUUUAAAAAAACGAAGUUUUAAGCAACUUCCUUUUAAUUUUCAUGAUUCUGUUGCCUUUAGUUCUCUAAAUAUUUCUAAUAGGCCAGUUAUCUGCCUCACCCUAUAUAAGUUGGCCAUUUACUGCAUCCAUCUGAUUCGUCCAAGUUUUCUCUAAAGAUGUUUUCAGGGUAUAUUUUAAAUGAUGCUGGUGAAAAUUCAUUUUCGAAUCUCACUCUUGCUUUUUGUUGGAGAUAUAAGUUUGAGAUCAUUCUUAUAUCCUUUCCAUCGAGUCUUGAUGUUUUUAGGAUACCAAUUAUUUUCCUAUGCGGUACUUUGUCAAAUACGUUCUCAAAAUCAAUGAAACAUGCAUACACAUCGCAGUUAACAUCCCUAGCUCUCUGUAUUAGUAUUGCAAACUUAAAAGUGCUUCCCUCUUUCCGAGUCCUGCUCUGAAUCCAAAUUGAACUUCACUUAUUAUGUGCUCUUCUAAUGGACUGUGAUAGUCUGAAAAGUUUCCAAACAAAGCAACAAUUCACACGUGGUGUUUGUUUUGGUUUUUAUAAUUAGAAUAUAUUGCUUGUAAGAUGUUUAAUUCUUAAAAGAAUGGUAAUGUGUUGGGUACCCGUAAUUGUAAUCAAUGCUCAUAGUAUAUUUCCCACCAUAUUUCCAUAUAGGACUGGUUAAGAACCUGAAGAUACGCAGUAAGUACUAUGUAGUGUGUAAAUCCUUGAUUUUUGUAAGGACAUUUAUAAAAUUAAAAGCAAUAUGAUUGAUAUGACUAACAAGGAUUGUGUCUUUAGAAAAAAUGAGCAGAUGAUUGUUAAAACAAAAUAAAAUUAAAAAUGAUUACACAAAUCACGUGUAUAAACAAUUCUCAGACGUCAAACUUUUGCUUUGUUUGGAAACUUUUUGACGUUUUCACGUCACACUAUCACGGUCCAUUUGGUGUUUAUGUCCGAUUACCGAUAUAAAAAUAUUCCUUGUAUAUUUAACAUACAGUAUGGUGCAAAUGAAAGGAAUAAAUUCGAUAUUUCGUAAACCGGCGACUUUAAGGAAAAAUCUCGAAAUAGGUCGAUUUUUAUUUUUAAAUUAUGAUAUUGUGGCAUACAUAUCAUAUGAGUGAAGUCAUCUCUCUGGGCGUGAUGACGUCAGUGAUGAUUUUCUUAAAUAGAAUAGGGGUCGUGUGCUAGCUCACUUGAAAGGUUAUUCAAUUAUCUAUUCAGUAAUAUAAACAAUAACCUAAUUAUUUAUACAAGGUGGCCAAAAAACAGUUUUUUUGAAUUAAAUUAAUUCACAAAAAAAGAAGAAUGUAUGUAAUUUAUUGGUUUUCAAAAUACAUUUUACUGUUGCGAGAAAACAGAAAAAAUGUUUAUUUCACAAAUAAACAUUGCUUUUCGCUUAAAUUCAAUGUUCAAGCCUGCUCCCGCCGGCCACCUGCGUCUUGGAAGUUUGAACAUUAAAUUUAAGCGAAAAGCAAUGUUUAUUUGUGAAAUAAACAUUUUUUUCUGUUUUCUGGCAACAGGAAAAUGUAUUUUGAAUUAAAUAGAUUACAUACCUUCUUCUUUUUUGUGAAUUAAUUCAAAAAAAAAUUGUUUUUGGUCACCCUGUAAAAAUAAUUAUAUUAGUUUAUAUUACUGAAUAGAUAAUUGAAUAACCUUUCAAAUGAGCUAGCACGCGGUCUCUAUUCUCAUUUUAAAAAAUCAUCGAUGACGUCAUCACGCCCAGAUGGAUGACGUCACUAGUAUGAUAUAUAUGCCAAAACAUCACAAUUUCAAAAUAAAAAUCGACCUGUUUCAGGAUUUUUCCUUAAAGUCGCCAACUUAUGAAAUAACGAAUUUAUUCCUUUCAUUUGCACCAUACUGUAUAUUAUAUUCAGUUCUUAUAGUUCCUACUCUGUAAUCUGUAUCAUUGCGCUGCGAUCUCGAAGCGCACCAGUGGUGGCGUCAAAAACUGAGUAAUUUAAUUAUAAUAAUAUUCUAGACUUAUAGCAGAUGGAAAGUUUCUUUGUAUUGCCUGACUGGCUGGCUGCUUCAUAUAUGUCAAACGAAUGACGCUUGAAAAUUAUUUAUAAAUUGUCGAAUUUUCAAAUCUACAAAUAUUUUUCAUACAAAGGUAUUCAUAAACAUUAAUAAACUCACAUUUAUACGUUUUUUCGGCGAUCUAAUACUUAACACUGGUUAUGUAUGUACAUAAAUUAUAAUACAGUGUCAGAAAAUGGGUGCAAAUGGGUAUCGUUCUUAUUAAAUAAAUAAUAAAAUUAAAUAAUUAAAACAAAGAUAGAUAAAAAAAUUAAAAAUCUUAUACCUAUAAAUAAGGAAACACAUCCUCAAAAAUAUUUGAAAAUAUUUAUUUUUAUAUUUAGGCAAAUGGUUUAUAAGAAAUAGCCAAUUUCAUUUACUUCCGAAGCGUAUAACGUAUUUAGAGAUAUUAACUACUACAUUUUAUAAAUGUUUUUAUAUUUUAUAUUUGGCGUUUCAAAUAUAUUUGUUUUAUUUCUAGUCAAAAUGAGUUCUCAAAAUACAAAUUAAAUAUUCUUGUUGUACAAUAACUUGGCUAUACUCAUAAUAUAAUAAUAAUAUAAUAGGUAAUAUAAAAAUGUCACACAUAAAUUGUUUCCAAACGUAUUAAGGAAUUGAUUAAUAAUAAAGUAAUAAAAUUAAAUAGAAUUAAAAAAAAAUUAAAUUAAAAUAAGCACAAAGUAAAUCACACAGUCGCUGCCUAUUAAAAAUCAAUACCUACCUUCUUCUUCUGCUUAACUGGCUUUAGGGCUUGCGGUGAAUCUACGCCGCACACACUAUAGCCCUCCAUCUUAUACGAUCUUGCUCUUCCAUUUCCCAUUGUUAUGCCCCAAUCCUACAUAAUUCGGCUUCAACAUUAUCCUGUCAUCUUCUUCUACGACGGCCUACUGAUCUGGUCUGGUUUCUCAAAAAACACUCUUACAUCUUAUCACAUGAUCUGUCCAUUUUAUCCGGUUAGCUUUUAUUAUGUCUGACGAUGUUUUCAGUACCAUACAGAGUCAACAAUUCAGCCUUGGCGCGCCGUCUUCACUCUCCUAUUAAUUCAUCCCUUUGAGGCCAAAUAUCAUUUUGAGAACCUUCCUUUCAAAUACCAGCAGCUUAUUUAUUUUCCCUGGAGUCCAUGUUUCACUUCCAUUAUAACAACUGGACGAAUAAUUGACAUGUCCAGUCUUAAUUUAGAUUUUUGUUUUAGCAGCUUAGGUCUUAAUAAUGAUGAUAGGGAGUAUAAUACUGUAUUAUUCUCAGCUAUCCUUGCUGAGACCUCUAUUUCUAUGUGGUUGUUAUCUGUGUUUACUGCCCUCAGAUAUUUAAACUCUAUUACUAUUUCUAGUUGUGGUUAUUAAUAUUUAUGUUCUGCCUAACUCUUGGUCUUGGAUUUUUGGUUACUAGCAUGUAUUUCGUCUUCUCUUUAUUUAUUCGAAGGCCUAGACUACAUGUUCCUGUUUCUUCAUCGAGUUGGGAAAAUACCUCUCUCAUAUAUCUCUUGUAGAAAGAGCGACUGCACCUAGAUCAUUAGCAAAGGCCAACAAUAGUUUUGAUUCUCGAUUCGCAAAUCCCCCUGCCAGCUCAGAUUAUAUUUUAAUUAUUGCACUUUCUAACGCUAAAUUGAAUAGCAAUGGUGAUAAGAGGUCUCCUUGUCUAAGUCCUGAUGUUUUACUAAAUGGCAUCGGUGUUCCUUUUUUUUACAUAUUCAUAUGAGUCUGUCAAAUUAGCUCCACUAAUUUUCUAGGUAUUCCCAUUUCUAGCAUUGCUAGCCAUAGUCUACUUCUUUUUAUCGAAUCAUAUGCUUGCUGUAAAUCUGCGAAAAUUGGGUGUACGGGGUUAUUCACUAUAUUUUGACCCCCCUGUAAUAGACUAUUUAUAAAUGAGAAUAGGGGUUGUGUGCUAGCUCAUUUGAAAGGUUAUUAAAUUCUCUAUUCAGUAAUAUAAACAUUAAGAUAAUUAUUUAUAAAGGGUGUACAAAAAAAUUUUUAAUUAAAUUAAUUGACACAAAAAGAAGAAUGAAUGUAAUUUUUUUUAAUUCAAAAUACAUUUUACUGCUGUCAUUAAACAGAAAUAAAUGUUUAUUAAACAAAUAAACAUUACUUUUCACUUAAAUUCAAUGUUCAAGCUGUCACCCAUCUGCCUCUUGGCAGUUUGAACAUUGAAUUUAAGCAAAAAAGCAAGGUUUAUUUGUGCAGUUAACUUUUAUUUCUGUUUUCUAACAGCAGUAGAAGAUAUUUUGAAUUAAAUAAAUUACAUACAUUCUUCUUUUUGUGUCAAUUAAUUUAAUUCAAAAAAAAAUUUCGGACCCCCUGUAUAAAUAAUUAUCUUAAUGUUUAUAUUACUAAAUAGAGAACUAAAUAAUCUUUUAAAUUAGCUAGCACACGACCCCUAUUCUCAUUUAAAAAAAUAGUCGAUUACAACAUGAAAGCCGCAUGGAAAGUCGCCUAGAAUAUCUUCUGAGCCUCUAUAGCAAGAUAAUUGAUGGAAUUUUAUAUGCUGUGCUAAUAAGCGAUAUGCCUCUAUAGUUUCGAAAUUGUUCUUUGCUCUGCUGAUGAAAUCGUAAUACAUAGUAUUGAUUGGCGCUAGUGACAUAUAUGAUAUGUCUGAUGACGGCGCCGAUCGGUGCCACACUUAACGAACACCAUAUUAAUAAGUUACCGAGACAGUUAACUGUUUAUAUUCACUUUGCGCAUGCGUGGAUAUGAAAUGUUUUCAAAACUAUUAACACGAAUAUUAUAUGAGGAUGAAAAAAGUUACCAUUUAUAAUAAACUUUUAGAAAUAAGUGUCUGUGAAGUAUGUAGAAUGGAAUUGUUAGUUUAUUACCUACGGAAAAUGUUAUGAUCAUACUAUGUCGUUUAAAUUUAAAAAAUCUAAAACUUCUGAUAUAUGUUUAGACGCACACACUUGAGUAUAUACACAUGUCAUAAGUUAUAAUAAUUUAUUACUGUUGUUUUUGUUGGGAUUGUAUAUUAUAGACGAUAAUUUAUUAAGUUUUUAUUAUA